rnacentral:rRNA from 1 species
GCGCACCAGGCGAGAAACCUCCGCAAUGCGGGAAACCGCGACGGGGGACCCCGAGUGCCGUGGCAACGCCACGGCUUUUCCGGAGUGUAAAAAGCUCCGGGAAUAAGGGCUGGGCAAGGCCGGUGGCAGCCGCCGCGGUAAUACCGGCGGCCCGAGUGGUGGCCGCUAUUAUUGGGCCUAAAAGCGUCCGUAGCCGGGCCCGUAAGUCCCUGGCGAAAAUCCCACGGCUCAACCGUGGGGCUUGCUGGGGAUACUGCGGGUCUUGGGACCGGGAGAGGCGGGGGGUACCCCUGGGGUAGGGGUGAAAUCCUAUAAUCCCAGGGGGACCGCCAGUGGCGAAGGCGCCCCGCUGGAACGGGUCCGACGGUGAGGGACGAAGGCCAGGGGAGCAAAACCGGAUUAGAUA